rnacentral:rRNA from 1 species
CAGGGAAUAUUAGUAAUGGGCGGAAGCCUGAACUAGCAACGCCGCGUGUGCGAAGAAGGCCUUCGGGUUGUAAAGCACUUUUUGAGAGGAUGAGGAAGGACGGUACUCUCAGAAUAAGUCUCGGCUAACUACGUGCCAGCAGCCGCGGUAACACGUAGGAGGCGAACGUUAUCCGGAUUUACUGGGCGUAAAGCGCGUGUAGGUGGUUUGGUAAGUAGGGCGUGAAAGCUCCUGGCUCAACUGGGAGAGGCCGUUCUAAACUGCCGAACUAGAGGAUGGUAGAGGGAGGUGGAAUUCCGGGUGUAGCGGUGGAAUGCGCGGAUAUCCGGAGGAACACCAGUGGCGAAAGCGGCCUCCUGGACCAUUCCUGACACUCAGACGCGAAAGCUAGGGUAGCAAACGG